rnacentral:rRNA from 1 species
CGGUUAAGUUAGAAAGGGCGCACGGUGGAUGCCUUGGCACUAGGAGCCGAUGAAGGACGGGACGAACACCGAUAUGCUUCGGGGAGCUGUAAGCAAGCUUUGAUCCGGAGAUUUCCGAAUGGGGAAACCCACCACUCGUAAUGGAGUGGUAUCCAUAUCUGAAUACAUAGGAUAUGAGAAGGCAGACCCGGGGAACUGAAACAUCUAAGUACCCGGAGGAAGAGAAAGCAAAUGCGAUUCCCUGAGUAGCGGCGAGCGAAACGGGACCAGCCCAAACCAAGAGGCUUGCCUCUUGGGGUUGUAGGACACUCUGUACGGAGUUACAAAGGAACGAGGUAGAUGAAGAGGUCUGGAAAGGCCCGCCAUAGAAGGUAACAGCCCUGUAGUCAAAACUUCGUUCUCUCCUGAGUGGAUCCUGAGUACGGCGGAACACGUGAAAUUCCGUCGGAAUCCGGGAGGACCAUCUCCCAAGGCUAAAUACUCCCUAGUGACCGAUAGUGAACCAGUACCGUGAGGGAAAGGUGAAAAGCACCCCGGAAGGGGAGUGAAAGAGAUCCUGAAACCGUGUGCCUACAAGUAGUCAGAGCCCGUUAACGGGUGAUGGCGUGCCUUUUGUAGAAUGAACCGGCGAGUUACGAUCCCGUGCAAGGUUAAGCAGAAGAUGCGGAGCCGCAGCGAAAGCGAGUCUGAAUAGGGCGAAUUGAGUACGUGGUCGUAGACCCGAAACCAGGUGAUCUACCCAUGUCCAGGGUGAAGUUCAGGUAACACUGAAUGGAGGCCCGAACCCACGCACGUUGAAAAGUGCGGGGAUGAGGUGUGGGUAGGGGUGAAAUGCCAAUCGAACCUGGAGAUAGCUGGUUCUCUCCGAAAUAGCUUUAGGGCUAGCCUCAAGGUAAGAGUCUCGGAGGUAGAGCACUGAUUGGACUAGGGGCCCCUACCGGGUUACCGAAUUCAGUCAAACUCCGAAUGCCGAUGACUUAUCCUUGGGAGUCAGACUGCGAGUGAUAAGAUCCGUAGUCGAAAGGGAAACAGCCCAGACCGCCAGCUAAGGUCCCAAAGUAUACGUUAAGUGGAAAAGGAUGUGGAGUUGCUUAGACAACCAGGAUGUUGGCUUAGAAGCAGCCACCAUUUAAAGAGUGCGUAAUAGCUCACUGGUCGAGUGACUCUGCGCCGAAAAUGUACCGGGGCUAAACGUAUCACCGAAGCUGCGGACUGUUCUUCGAACAGUGGUAGGAGAGCGUUCUAAGGGCUGUGAAGCAAGACCGGAAGGACUUGUGGAGCGCUUAGAAGUGAGAAUGCCGGUAUGAGUAGCGAAAGAGGGGUGAGAAUCCCCUCCACCGAAUGCCUAAGGUUUCCUGAGGAAGGCUCGUCCGCUCAGGGUUAGUCGGGACCUAAGCCGAGGCCGAAAGGCGUAGGCGAUGGAUAACAGGUUGAUAUUCCUGUACCACCUCCUCACCAUUUGAGCAAUGGGGGGACGCAGGAGGAUAGGGUAAGCGCGGUAUUGGAUAUCCGCGUCCAAGCAGUUAGGCUGGGAAAUAGGCAAAUCCGUUUCCCGUGAAGGCUGAGCUGUGAUGGCGAGCGAAUUAUAGUAGCGAAGUUCCUGAUUCCACACUGCCAAGAAAAGCCUCUAGCGAGGUGAGAGGUGCCCGUACCGCAAACCGACACAGGUAGGCGAGGAGAGAAUCCUAAGGUGAUCGAGAGAACUCUCGUUAAGGAACUCGGCAAAAUGACCCCGUAACUUCGGGAGAAGGGGUGCUCUGUUAGGGUGCAAGCCCGAGAGAGCCGCAGUGAAUAGGCCCAGGCGACUGUUUAGCAAAAACACAGGUCUCUGCGAAGCCGUAAGGCGAAGUAGAGGGGCUGACGCCUGCCCGGUGCUGGAAGGUUAAGAGGAGCGCUUAGCGUAAGCGAAGGUGCGAAUUGAAGCCCCAGUAAACGGCGGCCGUAACUAUAACGGUCCUAAGGUAGCGAAAUUCCUUGUCGGGUAAGUUCCGACCCGCACGAAAGGCGCAACGAUCUGGGCACUGUCUCAACGAGAGACUCGGUGAAAUUAUAGUACCUGUGAAGAUGCAGGUUACCCGCGACAGGACGAAAAGACCCCGUGGAGCUUUACUGCAGCCUGAUAUUGAAUGUUGGUACAGCUUGUACAGGAUAGGUAGGAGCCUUGGAAACCGGAGCGCCAGCUUCGGUGGAGGCAUCGGUGGGAUACUACCCUGGCUGUAUUGACCUUCUAACCCGCCGCCCUUAUCGGGCGGGGAGACAGUGUCAGGUGGGCAGUUUGACUGGGGCGGUCGCCUCCUAAAAGGUAACGGAGGCGCCCAAAGGUUCCCUCAGAAUGGUUGGAAAUCAUUCGCAGAGUGUAAAGGCACAAGGGAGCUUGACUGCGAGACCUACAAGUCGAGCAGGGACGAAAGUCGGGCUUAGUGAUCCGGUGGUUCCGCAUGGAAGGGCCAUCGCUCAACGGAUAAAAGCUACCCCGGGGAUAACAGGCUUAUCUCCCCCAAGAGUCCACAUCGACGGGGAGGUUUGGCACCUCGAUGUCGGCUCAUCGCAUCCUGGGGCUGUAGUCGGUCCCAAGGGUUGGGCUGUUCGCCCAUUAAAGCGGUACGCGAGCUGGGUUCAGAACGUCGUGAGACAGUUCGGUCCCUAUCCGUCGCGGGCGCAGGAAAUUUGAGAGGAGCUGUCCUUAGUACGAGAGGACCGGGAUGGACGCACCGCUGGUGUACCAGUUGUUCUGCCAAGGGCAUCGCUGGGUAGCUAUGUGCGGACGGGAUAAGUGCUGAAAGCAUCUAAGCAUGAAGCCCCCCUCAAGAUGAGAUUUCCCAUUCCGCAAGGAAGUAAGAUCCCUGAAAGAUGAUCAGGUUGAUAGGUCUGAGGUGGAAGUGUGGCGACACAUGGAGCUGACAGAUACUAAUCGAUCGAGGACUUAACCAAUUU